GAGAAGAAUUGCUUUAAACAGAGAGAGGGCUAGCUAGCUAGCCAGCAAGAGUAAAUGUACUUCAGAGCUGAGAUGAGAAGUAUCAUUUAAAUUUGAUGAUAUUCCUCUAGUACUGGAAGUGAUAUUGAUCUUCGUGGGUAAACGGGUAAUGGCUUUUACAGUGGAGAGAUGUGAUGUAGAGAUGGUGUUCUCUGUAGAUUCACAGAAGGCAGUUCCUGCACCAUUCUUAACCAAGACUUAUCACCUUGUUGAUGACCCUAUCACUGACCACAUAGUCUCUUGGGGAGAUGAUAAUACCUCCUUUGUUGUGUGGAAACCUCCUGAAUUUGCAAGAGAUCUCCUCCCCAAUUACUUCAAGCACAACAACUUC
rnacentral:misc_RNA from 1 species